CGACCCCACCUCAGGCAAGAACACCCGCUGAGUUUAAGCAUAUAAUUAAGCGGAGGAAAAGAAACUUACAAGGAUUCCCCUAGUAACGGCAAGCGAACCGGGAAGAGCCCAGCAUGAAAAUCGAGUGGCAGCGUUGCCCGAAUUGUAGUCUGUAGAAGCGUCCUUAGCGGUGGACCGGGUCCAAGUCCCCUGGAAGGGGGUGCCUGAGAGGGUGACAGCCCUGUCGGGCCUGGACCCUGCCGCACCACGAGGCAUUGUCGGCGAGUCGGGUUGUUUUGGAAUGUAGCCCUAAUCGGGUGGUAAAUUCCGUCCAAGGCUAAAUACGGGCGAGAGACCGAUAGCGAACAAGUACCACGAGGGAAAGAUGAAAAGGACUUUGAAAAGAGAGUUAAAGAGUGCUUGAAAUUGCCGGGAGGGAAGCGGAUGGAGGUCGGUGAUGCGUGUCGGUCGGAUGAGGAACGGAUCAAGCUGGUCCGCUGCUCGACUCGAGGUGUGAACCAGCACAGGCCAUUGCAUCGGCACAAGCGCGGGUGGAGUACUGCCUGUUGGUUUGCUGUUGUGGUGGUUGAGGAACGAAGCGUGCGCCCUUGGGGCGGGCCACUGUGCACCUGCACACUCGUGGUGUUGGUUGGCGGGCUUUCCAUUCGACCCGUCUUGAAACACGGACCAAGGAGU
rnacentral:ncRNA from 1 species